CGGGGGGCAGCAGUUUCGAAUCAUUCACAAUGGGCGAAAGCCUGAUGGUGCGACGCCGCGUGAGGGAUGAAGGCCUUCGGGUUGUAAACCUCUGUCACCGGGGAAGAAACGCUUCAAGUUAAUAGCUUGAAGCCUGACUUAACCCGGAGAGGAAGCAGUGGCUAACUCUGUGCCAGCAGCCGCGGUAAUACAGAGACUGCAAGCGUUAUUCGGAUUCACUGGGCGUAAAGGGUGCGCAGGCGGCCAAAUGUGUGAGGCGUGAAAGCCCGGGGCUUAACCCCGGAAUUGCACCUCAAACUAUUUGGCUAGAGCAUUGGAGAGGGUAGCAGAAUUCACGGUGUAGCAGUGAAAUGCGUAGAUAUCGUGAGGAAUACCAGAGGCGAAGGCGGCUACCUGGACAAUUGCUGACGCUCAGGCACGAAAGCGUGGGGAGCAAAAGGGAUUAGAUACCCGAGU
rnacentral:rRNA from 1 species